UUUAAAUGUAAAUUAAAAUACUAAAUUAUUAAUAGUUAUGUUCUUUAAAGUUAAAGAUUUUGGCGGUAUUUUAGUCUAUUCAGAGGAACCUGUUCUAUAAUUGAUAGUCCACGAUAAAAUUUACUUGGGUUAAUAGUUUGUAUAUCAUCGUUUGUAAAUGAUUUUAAAAGAAGAGAAAUUUUUAAGAUUUUUAAUUAAAAAAUAUAUCAGAUCAAGGUGCAGUUUAUAUUCAAGAAGAAAUGGGUUACAAUAAAUUUAUUUAAAUGGAUUUAUAUAAAAGUUUAUGUAUUGAAGGUGGAUUUGAAUGUAAUAUAAUUAGAUUAAAUUUUAUGAUUUUAGCUCUAAAAUAUGU
rnacentral:rRNA from 1 species